GCUUGUCUCAAAGAUUAAGCCAUGCAUGUCUAAGUGUAAAUAAGUCUAUACUGUGAAACUGCGAAUGGCUCAUUACAUCAGUUAUAGUUUAUUUGAUAGUCCCCACUACUUGGAUAACCGUAGUAAUUCUAGAGCUAAUACAUGCGUCAAGUCCUGACUGCGCGAGCGGAAAGGAUGUGUUUAUUAGAUACAACCAACCCUUCGGGUCCCUGGUGAAUCAUAAUAACCGAACGAACCGCAUGCUUCGGCGGCGGUGGUUCAUUCAAGUUUCUGCCCUAUCAGCUUUCGAUGGUAGGGUAUUGGCCUACCAUGGCGUUAACGGGUAACGGAGAAUUAGGGUUCGAUUCCGGAGAGGGAGCCUGAGAGAUGGCUACCACAUCCAAGGAAGGCAGCAGG
rnacentral:rRNA from 1 species